rnacentral:rRNA from 1 species
UAACGCGUGAGGAACCUGCCUCAAAGAGGGGGACAACAGUUGGAAACGACUGCUAAUACCGCAUAAGCCCACAGCUCGGCAUCGAGCAGAGGGAAAAGGAGUGAUCCGCUUUGAGAUGGCCUCGCGUCCGAUUAGCUAGUUCGUGAGGUAAUGGCCCACCAAGGCGACGAUCGGUAGCCGGACUGAGAGGUUGAACGGCCACAUUGGGACUGAGACACGGCCCAG